UACGUAGGCAGCGAGCGUUGUUCGGAAUUACUGGGCGUAAAGAGUGUGUAGGCGGUGCUCUAAGUUCGGUGUGAAAUCUCCUGGCUUAACUGGGAGGGUGCGCCGAAAACUGGAGUGCUCGAGCGUGGGAGAGGAAAGCGGAAUUCCUGGUGUAGCGGUGAAAUGCGUAGAUAUCAGGAGGAACACCUGCGGUGUAGACGGCUUUCUGGACCAUUGCUGACGCUGAGGCGCGAAAGCGUGGGUAGCAAACAGG
rnacentral:rRNA from 1 species